rnacentral:misc_RNA from 1 species
GAUGAAGAACGUAGCGAAAUGCGAUACUUGGUGUGAAUUGCAGAAUCCCGUGAACCAUCGAGUCUUUGAACGCAAGUUGCGCCCGAAGCCACUAGGCCGAGGGCACGCCUGCCUGGGCGUCACACGCCGUUGCCCCCCCAUCUACUCCUUCGGGAUUGCGGGGGGGCGGAUGAUGGCCUCCCGUGCGCCUAGCCGCGCGGUUGGCAUAAAUACCAAGUCCUCGGCGACGCACGCCACGACAAGCGGUGGUUGCGAAACCUCGGUUGCCCGUCGUGUGCGUUCGUCGCGCAUCGAGGGCUCGAAAAAAUGCUCGGCUCCGGCUGGGCUUUCAACGCGACCCCAGGUCAGGCGGGGUUACCCGCUGAAUUUAAGCAUAUCAAUAAGCGGAGGA